AAUACAUAUGUAUCUGAAAUUAGAUUUGGGAAUCUGUAGAUACCCUAACGUUAUUUUCUACUUACGUUAUACUUCCCGGUCCCACCUGUUACGUAAUUCCGGGGUAUUGCUGUAUACUCUUACAAUUAUAAUAAAUGCGAGGUGGAUCACGAGUUUAAAAGAUCUGAUGGAAAGAAAACUCUUAUUCGCAUUCAGUACUAAUCUUGUUUCAUUGACAAAACUCUCAUUAACAAAAGUAGAAUACUACUUUUGUUAAUAACAUAUUUCUGUGAGCAUAAGUAUCUUAUUCAGUGUCAUCAGAUCAUAUCAUAUUUUAUCAUCUUUUUUUGAAUAAAAAAAGAUUGUUUUGUAUAGCAGUAGCU
rnacentral:lncRNA from 1 species